ACGAGAAGACCCCAUGGAGCUUUAAACCCAACAGCACCCGUUUAUUUUCAUCCUCACAUAAGUUAGGUUAUGCCUGUUUGGUUUUAGGUUGGGGUGACCACGGAGNAUAAAACAACCUCCAUGAAAAAAGGACCAAAAAUCCUUAUUAGAGAAAGACAUUUCUAAAAUUAAUAAAUUAAUUUUUAAUGAUCCGAUAUUCGAUCAACGAACCAAGUUACCCUGGGGAUAACAGCGCAAUCCACUUCAAGAGCUCCUAUCGACAAGUGGGUUUACGACCUCGAUGUUGGAUCAGGGUAUCCUAGUGGUGCAGCAGCUACUAACGGUUCGUUUGUUCAACGAUUAAAACCCU
rnacentral:rRNA from 1 species